rnacentral:lncRNA from 1 species
CCUGCAUUUGCCUAACUCUUGGCAAAAUGUUUCGAAUGCCAUUUUUGAAAUUCCUGGUGAAAGAGUGCCUGCUGCCCUGGAGAUGUCUCUUCUGGAUAUUCUUAGGAACAGAACAAUAAACAAGGACACUUGGAAGAAAAGGGGCAGCUUUCCCCGAUUGCCAAGUGAAAUACAACUUUGUUAUUGAACUCUUCUGCUCUGCUUUUGGAAAAGCUGGGAUUACAUGUUCUUUUCUCCAGUGUAUUAAAAAAAAAGUAAGAUAUUGGCUUCAAAUUAAUCUGCAGAACUUUGAACUAAAAUGAGGGUUCUUUCUCAAAUACCACACUAGAAAACAACACAGCAGACUGCCAGGAGCCCCAGCAGGGGAAACCAGAAGGAACAUGAUGACGGUGUGGAGGAGCUUUACAUGGGGAUGCUUUCCCAUUUCUCGAGUCUGGGUACCCCAACUGGCCCCCAUCUGGCUGGCCAGAGAUGGAUCAUUUUCCAUGAUGCCUUGUGGGACCAUACGUGGCGCCUCACUUUCAAUGUACUGCUUGGAGUGCCCGAAGAAGAUUCAGAUGCGAGUGCCCUCACUUGAUCUCAUCCAUAUGCUGACCUCUGAGCUAUAGGUCAUGGCUAAGGACUAAGCUAAAGGCCCAACUUGGUGUAGUUUUGAACCAAGCCGUCUGCCUGAAGGGGGUUUUGAGGAGAGAAUGAGGGAGAAAAAAGACUCUGUCAAGUUGCAUGCUUGUGAGUUAUAAUGCACUUUCUUACUGUUCCCACCCAGGAUGAGAUCUGGUGGUGCAAGGCUUGUUCUGGGGCCAUUUGAUUGAGGAGUAUCCUAUGGAACAGCCUACAGGUGGUACUUACUUGCCCUAAAGAAAAACCCUGGAAAAUCACCAUCCACCCAUCUCACUUCCCCACUCUACAAAAGUAACACAUCCAUCAGCGAGCCUCUGUCUUUUGUUGGUUGAGGCAGUGGGCUGUGGGACUCUGGAUGGCUGGUGCCAGCUUUCAAGGGCUACUUGCAGCCCGGCUGUUGGACAUCUCCCUCUGGCCUUUUUCAGCUCUUUGUGAAUCCCCUGCCAGCCUUUUCUUUCUCCCCAGUGAUGCCUGUGCUCGUCAGCUCCCUCCAAUGGAGUGAAUAUAUGAGAAGACAGGAGUCAGCAGGGGUUCAGAAGGCUGGGAGAAUGGAGGGGUGAGCCAACCAGCCACAUAGAGAAGGAAGCUUUGGAUCACAUGCCUUCAUUUCUUCCCUUCCAGCCUCCCUCCUCCCCGCCAGUGGCAGGGUGGCAACAUUCUUAAUGAUAAUUUUAAAAAAGUGCCAAGCCUCUGCUCAUUUGCAAAUCAUCAUGUCUAAUUUGCAUAACAGAUCCGGGAGGCCCUAACUCUGCAUAUGGAAAAUGGAAUACAGUAUAAAUAAGAUAAAUGGAUUAGGUCAGCUGACUGCAUCUGUAGCCACGGACGACCCACGGGCCCAGCGCACACGAACUACAGAGGAGGGCAUCCAGUACAGGUACUUAUGGUUAAUUUUUUAUGCGAUGAAUAGGCAACAUAGCAGGACUGAUCAGGCUGCAACCAUCCAGACGGCAAAAGAAUAAAAAGACAAAUGCUAAAGAAAUGUAAGACGGUGACCCUCCACAUAACUCACUUCUGGGAGUCAUUUGUUGCCUCUUUAUUUGUAUGUUUCCCC